rnacentral:rRNA from 1 species
GCGUAGGCGGUUUAUUAAGUCAGAUGUGAAAGCCCCGGGCUUAACCUGGGAACUGCAUUUGAAACUGGUCAACUAGAGUAUGGUAGAGGAAAGUGGAAUUUCUGGUGUAGCGGUGAAAUGCGUAGAUAUCAGAAGGAACAUCAAUGGCGAAGGCAGCUUUCUGGACCAAUACUGACGCUGAGGUACGAAAGCGUGGGUAGCAAACAGGAUUAGAUACCCUGGUAGUCCACGCCGUAAACGAUGAUAACUAGCCGUUGGGGGGAUUUACCCUUUAGUGGCGAAGCUAACGCGUUAAGUUAUCCGCCUGGGGAGUACGGCCGCAAGGUUAAAACUCAAAUGAAUUGACGG